AAAGGGUGCGUAGGCGGCCUGUUAAGUCAGGGGUGAAAGACGGUAGCUCAACUAUCGCAGUGCCCUUGAUACUGAUGGGCUCGAAUUGACUAGAGGUAGGCGGAAUGUGACAAGUAGCGGUGAAAUGCAUAGAUAUGUCACAGAACACCGAUUGCGAAGGCAGCUUACUAUGGUCUUAUUGACGCUGAGGCACGAAAGCGUGGGGAUCAAACAGGAUUAGAUACCCCAGU
rnacentral:rRNA from 1 species